GACGAACGCUGGCGGCGUGCCUAAUACAUGCAAGUCGAACGAGUGGCGGACGGGUGAGUAACACGUGGGAACCUACCCAUCAGAGGGGGAUAACACUUGGAAACAGGUGAUAAUACCGCAUACUGAUGGAUGGACACGCGGUGCAUUAGCUAGUAGGUGGGGUAAAGGCUCACCUAGGCGACGAUCCCUAGGUGGUCUGAGAGGAUGAGCAGCCAAACUGGGACUGAGACACGCCCAAGACUCCGACGGGAGGCAGCAGUGGGGAAUAUUGCACAAUGGGCGCAAGCCUGAUGCAGCCAUGCCGCGUGUAUGAAGAAGGCCUUAGGGUUGUAAAGUACGUUCAGCGGGGAGGCGUUACCCGCAGAAGAAGCACCGGCUAACUCCGUGCCAGCAGCCGCGGUAGUAC
rnacentral:rRNA from 1 species